GGAACCCAGAACUGAACACAAUAUUCCAGAUGUGGCCUCAUCACAGCAGAAUAGAUGUGCUAGCCACAGAUACAUGCUGUGCAUUAUUUUAAUGCACCCUAGGAUACUAGUGGUCUUCCUGAUCAAAAGGGCACACUGCUGGCUCAACGACCAACCCUUUAUCUACAAGGACCCCCAGGUCAUCCUCUGCAAAGCUCCUCUCCAGCAGGUCAUUCCCUAAUCUGUACUGGUGCACAUGGUUAUUCCUCCCCAUAUGCAAGACUCUACAUGUCCUCUUGUUGAACUUCAUCAGGCUCCUCUCUGCCCAGCUCUCCAGCCUGUCCAGGUCUUACUGAAUGGCAGCACAGCCUUCCAGUGUGUCAGACACUCCUCUCAGCUUUGUAUCAUCAGCAAAAUUUCUGAGGGUUCUCAGCAAGUCCAGGUCAUGGAUGAAGAUGUAGAACAAGACCAAACCCAGCACCAACCCCUUCAGAACACCACUAGUUACAGGCCUCCUACUGGACUCUCUGCCACUGAUCACAACUCUCUGAGCUGUGCCAGUCAGCCAGUUGUCAAUCCACCUCACCAUCCUCUCAUCUGUCCCACACUUUCUAAGCUUCAUUAUGAAGAUACUGUGGGAGACAGUAUCAAAAGCCUUGCUGAAGUCAAGCUUUUACAGGUCACAUCUCUCCAGCUCCUCCUCCAGAGGAGGGCCAUGAAGAUGAUCAGAGAUCUGCAGGACCUCCUCUGUGAAGACAGGCUGAGGGAGCUGGACUUGUUCAGCCUGGAGAAUAGGAGGCUGCAAGGAGGCCUCAUUGCAGCCAUCCAGUAUUUGAAAGGGGAUUAUAAACAGGAGUUGAAUCAACUUUUUCCUUGGAGAAGGAGAAGGAGGAAUGGUUUUAAGCUCAAGGAGAUAAGGUUUAGAUUAGAAGUCAGGAGGAAGUUCUUCACAGAGAGAAUGGUGAGGUGCUGGAACAGGAUGCCCAGAGAGGUUGUGGAUGCCCCAUCCCUGGAGAUGUUCAAGAACAGGUUGGUUGAAGCCCUGGGCCUAGUACCAGAUCUGGAGGUUGAUGGCUCUGCCUAUGGCAGGGGGGUUGGAACUUGAUGAUCCUUGGGGUCCCUCCCAACCAAAACUGUUCUAUGUUCCUGUGGAAUCUGAAAAAGUAGCAAUAUAUUUGCAAAUUUGUUUUGAUGGCAAAUUGUUAGUGAAAGUACUUAUCUCCCACACACAUCAGGAGAUACACCCAACAGCAAAGAGCAUAAAGAAAAAUUAGAAUUAUUAAUGAGGUCUCAGUUUGCCUCUUCAUUGCAAAUCUAUACAAAAGUCCCACUCCAAAGUAUUGCUCAACUGAAGAGCAAGGUAAUACACAACAGCAAUGGCAGAAAAGUAUAUUGCCUUGGAUCAACAACACAACUUUUUUCAAUGAAAUGUUGUAUCACAGAAAAGUCACCGUUUAGUUAGUUAUCUUUUCAUAACUUUUAAUGAAAUUACAUGUCUUUUUAAAAGACUGAAUUAUAAUUUCAUUUGAUGUGAAAUUGAUCUGCAUUUCAAAAAAAUAGUCUUUGAG
ensembl:lncRNA